UACGUAGGGUGCGAGCGUUAAUCGGAAUUACUGGGCGUAAAGCGUGCGCAGGCGGUCUGUUAAGACCGAUGUGAAAUCCCCGGGCUUAACCUGGGAACUGCAUCGGUGACUGGCAGGCUUUGAGUGUGGCAGAGGGAGGUAGAAUUCCACGUGUAGCAGUGAAAUGCGUAGAGAUGUGGAGGAGUACCGAUGGCGAAGGCAGCCUCCUGGGCCAACACUGACGCUCAUGCACGAAAGCGUGGGGAGCAAACAGG
rnacentral:rRNA from 1 species